rnacentral:rRNA from 1 species
UACGAAGGGGGGCUAGCGUUGUUCGGAAUUACUGGGCGUAAAGCGCACGUAGGCGGAUAUUUAAGUCAGGGGGUGAAAUCCCGGGGCUCAACCCCGGAACUGCCUUUGAUACUGGGUAUCUCGAGUCCGAGAGAGGUGAGUGGAAUUCCGAGUGUAGAGGUGAAAUUCGUAGAUAUUCGGAGGAACACCAGUGGCGAAGGCGGCUCACUGGCUCGGUACUGACGCUGAGGUGCGAAAGCGUGGGGAGCAACAGG